GUUUUAUAAUCAGCUUGUUGACAAGCAUACAUCAGUGGAGUACACCCUUGUGGAAGUGGACGGUUCACAUCAUGUUUUUUGGAUGCUGGGGAUGGGCUCGACCCGCCUGCCUAUGUUGAAUUUGUCCAUAACAAUGAGGGGUUAAAACGGCUGACACAUCGCAAUUAUAGUGUGGGAGGUUAAAGGCGAGUCGCAACGAGCGGGCGCGGAGGGCGCGAAGCUUCGACUGAGUGCUGACCGUGGACGGUGGACGAUGAAGCCCUCACUAGAGCCUGCCUGGUGGCCACCCACUGCCCAUUCGGACAAAAAUGGCGUUGGGCGGCACGCAAUAACCUACCUAAUCUUACUUAUUGUACAAAACCAGGUCACCUUCUCAUAAAUUUAUUGUGAAACUACACUGCUAAACGUGAAGAUUGACACCACUGCCAGGUCGACAUUCCAAAAUCUCAUAAAUAUUUUUUUAAACCAUUGAUUUAAUUUACAAA